AAUAGAGCAAUUAACAUGGAGAAGCAGCACCCUGGAGAAGUAGAUAAUAGAAGCUUGGGAUGUAGCUGCAUCAUGGGGUAACUUUAUUCUCAACUUUUUGAGGAACUGCCAUGCUGACUUACAGUGGUUGUAUCAAUUUGUACUCAAACUGGUGAAGGAUGAUCCCCUUUCUCUACAGUCAUGCCAGGUUCUACUGUCUAUUUUUAAAAACCUUGUCCAUUCUGAGUGGUGUAAGAUAUUUGAAGUCUCAAAGUUGUUUCCCAUUUCCCUGAUGGCUCAGGGUGGUCAACAUGUUUUUCAGACAUUUUAUUAAAAAAAAUAUUUUUGAGGUAGGUUUUGUUUUGUUUUCUUUUUUGGAUAUAGGGUUCUCUCAUUGGCAGUUCUGGAGUCCUCUGUGUAGACCCAGCAGACCAUGACCUCACAGAGAUCUACCUGCCUCUGCCCACCAAGAGCUGGGAUUAAGGGCUAGAGCCAUCAUGUCCUGCCCAGCCCAGCUUACUUAUGUGUCUGAGUCUUCUGUCUGCUCUUAACAGCUGAGCUAUCUCUCCAGCCCACUGUAUGUCUUGAGAAGUUUUAGUUCCUUGCUGUAUUUUUGUUUUUCGAGACAGGGUUUCUCUGUGUGGCCCUGGCUGUCCUGGAACUCACUCUGUAGACCAGGCUGGCCUCGAACUCAGAAGUCCUCCUGUCUCUGACUCCCAAGUGCUGGGAUUAAAGGCGUGUGCCACCACUGCCCAGCCUUUGCUGUAUUUUAAAGAUUGGCUUAUUUGCUUGCUUGUUUUUUAGGUUUAGGGUUUUUUGUUUUGUUUUGAUUUUUAAAAGACUUUUAAUGCUUAUGUGUGUGGUAUGUGAGCAUAGGUUCUCUCUAAUGGCUGUGUGUUCUAACUGCUGUUAGCUCCCCAGUCCAUGUUUUGAGAGUUUUUUUUAGUUCUUUGUGUCUUCUAGACACUAAUUCUCUACCAGAUGUGUAGCUGGUAAAGACCUUUUCUCCUUCUGUAGUUGUUUCUUCACAUGAAUGAUACUGUCCCUUUGUUGUACAGAAACCUUAAGUUUUAUGAGGUCCCAUGGUUUUACUGCCUGCACUACUGGGGUCCUGUCCAGAAAGUCCUUCUGUGUGCUUUUAAGUUUAUUCUGCCCCACCCCCGACCUCUAUCAGAUUCAGGGUAUCAUGCCUUACACUGAGGUCCUUUGAUCCAUUUGGAGUUGAGGUCUGGCAGGGUGAGAGAUAAGAUUCCAGUUUACUCCACAUCCUGCUUUUCAGUUUGACCAGCAUCAUUUAUUAAAGAUGUCUUUCCUCUGGUAUCUUUGUUCCCUUUAUCAAAACUCAGAUGGUGGUGGGGUGUGUGGACUUACCUGGGUCCUCAGUUCUACUGCAUUGGGUAAUGUGCCUUUUUAUGCCAGUGCCAUGCUGGUUUUACUACUAUAGCUCCAUAGUGUGACUUUAAAAUUGGGGGUGGAGAUACCCUCAGCAGCUCUUUCACUGUUCAGGAUUGAAUUAUUGAUUAGAAUUAUUUAUCAGUUAAUGGUGUUACUGAUGUGUGUGUGUAGUCUGUAUUUUCUGUAUAAAAUUGAAUCCAUAUAUAAUUUAUGUAUAAAA
ensembl:lincRNA Gm42595 predicted gene 42595